AAAAUGGAGUAAAACGAAUAAGAACGUGUGAGCGAAAAAAAAUCGCACUUCAAGAAAUUUAAGCUCAAUCUUGCAGCUGAAUGAUGCGAGUCGAAUUGUAGCAAGUCCAGUCAUUAUAGAACCUGCAUCACUUCAUAGGUUUAGUAUAAAAACUAUUCGGAUAUACAGUAUUACAACAAUUAAAAUUAUAUAUUAUUAUUAGUGUAUUCUACACUAAAUCUAAGCUACUAUUAAUUUACAACAAUAUAAAUAAAAGUACAUGCACUUAUAUAAGGGAAAAUCCUGCAAUCUAGUCUUAUUUUAUCUUUUUAUCUUUUUUUCAUAUUUCUUUAUUUUUUGUAAAUAGUUUAUUCUAUAUUUCACGCCCUUCAUAGAAAUCAGCCUCCUAACGGUUGUAUGUAUGAAUGCGGCGUUUAUGAUCAUGGUACAAAGUGGCUUUCAGCUAUGUUUAUUUAAUAAAACAUUCACGUUAAGAAAUUUAAGCUCUAUCUCAGUUUUCUUAUCAUCGUUAUAAGCCUGUUUGGAAUGAAAACUUAUCCCGAGCUUUUAGGCUUUUACCGCUAUCAAGCCUGUCACACGUUCAUUUCCUGCUUUUGUCUUGCUGAUACAAGGAUUGCAUCUGCAAUUUGAACCCUGUGCAAACAUUUCCU